rnacentral:rRNA from 1 species
AGCGAACGCUGCGGCAUGCUUAACACAUGCAAGUCGCACGGUCAGCAAUGGCAGUGGCGGACGGGGUGGAGUAACGCGUAGGGUAUCUAUCCUCGGUGGGGGGACGAACCACGGGAAACUGUGGCUAAUACCGCAUGAUGACUGAGGUCUAAAGGCGCAAGUCGCCUGAGGAGGAGCCUGCGUCCGAUUAGCUAGUUGGUGGGGUAAAAGCCUACCAAGGCUCCGAUCGGUAGCUGGUCUGAGAGGAUGAUCAGCCACACUGGGACUGAGACACGGCCCAGACUCCUACGGGAGGCAGCAGUGGGGAAUAUUGGACAAUGGGCGCAAGCCUGAUCCAGCAAUGCCGCGUGGGUGAAGAAGGUCUUCGGAUUGUAAAGCCCUUCCGACGGGGACGAUGAUGACGGUACCCGUAGAAGAAGCCCCGGCUAACUUCGUG